CGGCCUUUGUGCCUUUUUAUUCUUUGCUUACCUUUAUGAUAUAAAGACCUUAUUUCUUACAAGGAGGAAAAGACCGCUGACUUCAGAAACAGCGGGAACCCCAGCUCGUCCCCGGUAAGACGGCCGUGGCCUGUCAGCUGGAACGGUCCUGCCGGAUGGAUCGCUCUUUGAGAGCGUACACUCCCGCGUGCGCGACACCAGGCGGCCCGUAGGUUCCAGGUGCCGAGCACACUACCUCCUCAGUUUACCUAAGUGCCCUACCAGUAUCAUAUUCUGUGUAUGCUGUGAUGUGAACGAGGUUUGUAAACACAGGCUGGUCUAAUGGAGCCCAAUGAGACCGCCAGAGGAUUAGUGUCUUGUCCAACAGUACUUGACUUGCUGGUAGAGCCCUAAUGACUGAGGGCUGCCCACAAGGGAAAGGUGAGAGAACCUUCACGUCUCUCAGGUAGUUUCCAGCCUGCACUUUCCCCCAGCUAAAGAUAAGUUUUGUUAUUUUUAAAAUUCUCUUUAUUUAGAGCAAAUUCAGCCCUAUCUCAGAUCGGGAAAUUAUAUAGUAUCAAAAGAGAGAGUCUUCAUAUUAGCAACCCAAAUAAAUAAACUAUUUUCCUGGGUGAUCAAAUAAGUUUGAUUCCUGCUUGAGUUCUAUUUAGAUACUAGGUGGAAUUUUACAAAGGGUCUACGUUCCAUGAACUGUAAUGGAAUGAAAAUAUUCACAAUCUAAAGACAUUUUCACAUUCCCAGUUUACAGCUGAGGAAAUUAAGCU
rnacentral:lncRNA from 1 species